GACGAACGCUGGCGGCGUGCUUAACACAUGCAAGUCGAACGGUAAGGCCCUUCGGGGUACACGAGUGGCGAACGGGUGAGUAACACGUGGGUGAUCUGCCCUGCACUUCGGGAUAAGCCUGGGAAACUGGGUCUAAUACCGGAUAGGACCACUGCCUGCAUGGGUGGUGGUGGAAAGCUUUUGCGGGUUGGGAUGGGCCCGCGGCCUAUCAGCUUGUUGGGGGGGUGAUGGCCUACCAAGGCGACGACGGGUAGCUGGCCUGAGAGGGUGACCGGCCACACUGGGACUGAGAUACGGCCCAGACUCCUACGGGAGGCAGCAGUGGGGAAUAUUGCACAAUGGGCGCAAGCCUGAUGCAGCGACGCCGCGUGAGGGAUGACGGCCUUCGGGUUGUAAACCUCUUUCAGCACCGACGAAGCGCAAGUGACGGUAGGUGCAGAAGAAGGACCGGCCAACUACGUGCCAGCCGCCGCGGUAA
rnacentral:rRNA from 1 species